rnacentral:lncRNA from 1 species
ACGAUUUCCAAAUGUAUCUCUGCUGAAAAGAUAAGUGUAGGAUCCGUGAGGCUCCCGCCCGCGUGUUGGCGAGCCAGUCUCUCUAGGGAGAAGCCAGAGGAGUAUCAGCGAAGGAUCAUGGGAGAUAGAGUCCAAAUCGAGGCAUGCUACAGAAAUGAACUGGUCAGAGCUGCACAGAGCACUGCUGUUUUCCAGAAACCUACAGUGGGUGAGUGACCCGACAUAAAACAACAUACUGCGUUCUAUAUAGUCCACUGUAUAUCUGUUAGAUAGGGUUUAGCGCUUUUAAGUUACAA